rnacentral:rRNA from 1 species
AGCGAACGCUGGCGGCAGGCCUAACACAUGCAAGUCGAACGAACUCUUCGGAGUUAGUGGCGGACGGGUGAGUAACACGUGGGAACGUGCCUCUUGGUUCGGAAUAACUCAGGGAAACUUGUGCUAAUACCGAAUGUGCCCUUCGGGGGAAAGAUUUAUCGCCAUUAGAGCGGCCCGCGUCUGAUUAGCUAGUUGGUGAGGUAACGGCUCACCAAGGCGACGAUCAGUAGCUGGUCUGAGAGGAUGACCAGCCACACUGGGACUGAGACACGGCCCAGACUCCUACGGGAAGCAGCAGUGGGGAAUCUUGCGCAAUGGGCGAAAGCCUGACGCAGCCAUGCCGCGUGAAUGAUGAAGGUCUUAGGAUUGUAAAAUUCUUUCACCGGGGACGAUAAUGACGGUACCCGGAGAAGAAGCCCCGGCUAACUUCGUG